AUGGAAAUCACCUGAAUGUCCACAUGAGGUGGAAGAACUUAGAUUUCUUGUCUUCAAUCCUUUGGAAAUAGACAUAAACAUCGCCAGUUAUGUCUUUUGGGCAUAAAAACAUGAUAGAUUUCAACAAACCACAAAAUUUAACAAUAGCCACGUGUUCCCAGAGAUGGAUUUAUCACUUACCAGUUGGUCAAAUAAAAUUUUAUGACACUUUACUAAAGAUUGAUACAUAUGGUUCACAAUGCAACAAGGAAUGGAGAAUAUAGAGUGUUGGAUAAUUUUAAUACUUUAAAAUACCGGAUCUUUCAUGUUAAAUCAUCAAGAAAUAUAAUAAUUAAAGCGGAAGCAUACCUGAAUCUGACAUAGUUAAUGCAAUAUGGAUUUCGCGGUAUGAUCUUCCAAAUCUACACGCAGUCUCCUUUUCCUCUCUGUGAUGGGAUGCAGUAGAGAAUGAACAAUAAUCUGCUGUGAUCUGGGGACCAUAACCUAUUUAUAUGAGGAUGCCCUUUGACCUAAUUCGGCCCAUCAUAGAAUUAGGACUUGGGCCCGGUCUCUACACAUAUGUAAACCCAUACUUAAACUGGAUACAUUAAAGCCCAAAACUAAAACCAUAUUAGAUCACUUUAAUUGGGCUCAACCGAAUUCGAUAGCCUAUAAUUUAAUACACAAUUAUUCACACAUACAAGCCCAUCUUUAAUUAAAAAUUCUUACAAUCUCCCACUUGGGCUAUAUGUGUCACCUUAUAAUUGUGCAUUAAACAUAACCUUAUGAGUACUUAGAAUUUUGCUAUCAUUAGCGAAUGUAUCCCCAAACAAUCCCGUCCAUCAAUCAUAUCAACAUAGGAUCAAAGCGGUUUUCGCUACUUUCAUGUAGCUAAACCCAUCAAUGGUCACGUAUAUCAAUAUAACCGAAUGACA
rnacentral:lncRNA from 1 species